UUCCACUGUGCCUACUCACUGAUGGAUUGUAAUUUGUGAAUUUUUAAUAUGGUUCUAUCGUAACCUCAUGAGGAAAGACGAAGUAGCUAGUGUUUGUUUGCUGUGAAUUAAAACUACUGGGUUCUUACAGCAUGACAGAAUGUUGCAGUGAUGUUGAAAAAUUCUCAAUGUAAAUGUUUGAAGUCAUGCUUUGGUAGAGAGAUGAUACAACCUUAAUGUAAUUGGCUACUAAAACGAAGAUACGUACAGUCAAGUUUAUGAUAUAUCGGAACACCUGUCCUUGGCUUAAUGAUGGAAUCUAUGCAUUCAUGGAUGUUGUCUGUCAGCCAAUAUUCAUCCUCCAAAGCUUAAGGCCAUCGGACCGCUCCUUCCCACACAUCUUUAGUAACAGCAAGCCUGGCUUCCUCCAAUCUGAACCGCAAGUCUGCCCCCAUACCUGAGCUCAAUGGCAUUGAGCUCAGGAUGUACAGGUGGAAGGUAGACCACCUCAUGCCCCCACAAGUGGAUUGUAUUAUCCACCAGGUAUAGUGGCUCUGGCCUAUUAUGCUUACAAAACCAUCAGCAAUUCGUGGGAGAUAGGACCCUAAAAGGGAUUGAACAUCGCGGCAUAUCGUGGUAUGGUGUGGCAAAGGACUAUCCUCUAAGCAUGGUAUUGUAUGGUGUGUUGUCUCACCAGGACUGAUGGCUCAGGAAGCAGUGGUAAACAGUUAUAUGUCAACCCAUUGCAGGAACAAUUGGCCAUUCCUCUCCCCUUGAUAAUCAACACUGGUGUUUAUCAACAAAUGUUUCUGUUAAGCAAGUGGCAAUCUCUGCAAAGCGUUCCCUUUCUACCCGGUGGCACUUAAAGGCUGUAUGUGCAUCACUGGUGGUUGGCAGAGUGAGGACUACUACUCCAUGCAGCCAAUGAUUUAACGUUGUGGUAAAUCACAUCUCCUCCAAGUAAAUCACCUGCCUACCUUCUUUCAGUGCAGAGAGCAAUAAUCCUGUGGCACAUUAUGUCCACAGAUUUCUUUUUCACAUACAUUUUUCUAUGUCGCACUCAUCCACGACCUGGGAUUCCAACAUAUGUCUCGGAGGUUCUUCCGAAAUUGAUGUUUGCCAUCCUCAAAUUAAAGUAUUCUUCCUCCAAAGCUUGUGACCAUCGGACCACUCCUUCCCACACAUCUUUGGUACCGGCAAGUCUGCCCAGGAAAAAUGGCAGUCUUCAUUCUUCAAAGCUUGAGACUGUCAGACCACUCCUUUUCACACAUCUACACCAACAGCAAGCUUGGCUCCCUCCAAACUAAACUGCAAGUCUGCCCAGGAGAAACAUCUUAAUUCUUCAAAGCUUGAGACUAUCAAACUGCUCCUUUCCACACAUCUUCAGUAACGGCAAACCUAUCUCCCUCCAAUCUGAACUGCAAUUAUGUCCGAGAGAAACGCGUUCGUUUUUCUAAGCUUGAGACCAUGGGACUGUUACUUUCGACGCAUUAUUGCUACCGGCAAGCCUGGCUCCCUCCAAUCUGAACUGCCAGUCUGCCCAGGAGAAAUGUCUACAUUCUCCAAAACUUGAGAGCAUUGGACCACUCCUUCCCACACACCUGUCUCCCUCCAAUCUGAACUGCUAGUCUGCGCAGGUGAUGCUACUUCCUCCAAAGCUCGAGACCAUCAAACUGCUCCUUCCCACACAUAUUUAGUAACAGCAAGCCUGUCUCCCUCCACUCUGAACUGCAAGUCUGCCAAGGAGAAACUUUUUCGUACCCCAAAGCUCGAAAGCAGUGGACCACUCCUUCCCACACAUCUUCAGUUACAGCAAACCAGUCUCCCUCCAAUCUGAACUGCAAGGCUGUCCAGGAGAAAUGCCUUCGUUCUUAAAACCUUGAGAACAUGGGACCACUCCUUUCCACACAUCUACAGUAACAGCAAAACUGGCUCCCUCCGAUCUGAACUGAGAGUCUGCCCAGGAGAAAUGUCUACAUUCUAUAAAGCUUGAGACCAUUGAACAGCUCCUUGAAUCAGACCACUCCUUUCCACACAUCUUCAGUAACUGUCUCCCUCCAAUCUGAAAUGCAAGUCCGCCCAGGUGAAACUACUUGCUCCAAAGCUCGAGACCAUCAAACUGCUCCUUCCCCCACAUAUUUAGUAACAGCAAGCCUGUCUCCCUCCAAACUGAACUGCAAGUCUGCCCAGGAGAAACAUCGUCCUCCAAAGCUUUAGAACAUAGGACCUUUCCUUCCCAUACAUCUGUGAGGUCUUGGCCAUCGCCACAGCUCGGAGGUUCUUCCGAGAAUGAUGUUCGCCAUCCUCAAUCCUUAGGCAAGGAUCUCGACCAUGAAGAUCAAACCACCAAAUUUGUCAUUGAUCUCUAGUGACGAAUGGCACCUCUAGUAAAGUUGUCUUAGACAUAGGUGAUAAAGGCGAUGAGGCAGAGUUUGGUGUGUGUGGCAGACACCAUGCUGGGCCGCACCAUAUGAUGCACUACUUGCACAGUCAUGUCCAUGACAUCUGGAACUCAUGAGUGAGGUCUGUAAUGUAAAAGUACAAAUUUUAAUUUGCUUACUGUUAUAAUAGAAUGGUUUCAUAAGAGGGAUGUUCGUGAAUAUUUUGAUAGAGUAAUGGUUGCAUUGAAUACAAACAUUAAAUUGCUGUAAUAUUCCUGCAAGUGGAAAGUGUUGCGUUAUUGUAACUUGUAAUUCCAUCAAGACAUUGAACAUGUAAUUUAUUUUGGAAAUACCCAUCAACAAGCUUAUAGAAAUAAACAGUACAGUUAAAAAUGAAGGCGGAUAUAUUUUUUCCUAAUCACUGAAAUGUAAACCCAUGCAGCGAGCUACCAUCAUCUUAGUGUACCAGUUUCAACAUUCAAAAUCCUUCCACACAAUACUAUAAUUGUCAGCUUGAUAUUGAUCGAAUUAAAAACCAUUCAAUCAUGUUCCAGUACAUUUUAAAGGGAACCCGUUUGAUAAUCACUUACUUUUCCAGAGAAAUUCUGAACCCAUUGGCUACCUUCUCUGCAUUAUAAACAGCAAACAACUAUAAUGCAAAUGCAAUGUGGCAUCCACGAUGAUAUUACUGCAAAACAUCUGCCAUAGCUGAUGAACAGUUAGCUGGAUGUUAGUAUACUUGCAGCUAUGGGUGACUUCAGACGUUUGCGCUUAUCGGACGACAAACUACUGCCCUUCUAAUUUUCUGUUGGUCCGCUCUCUCUAUCUAUAUAUACUGUAUAAGAACCGUGAGGUUAUAAUAUUCUCAAAAAACUGAAAUACAGAUUACAGCUUUUAUAACCUAUUCAUGUAUAAAAACUUAAAUGUAUCAACUAAAUGUGGAUAUGUAAAAUUUAAAAAGCCAAAUCGUAGUACGCUCUUCCAAACUUCAGCAAAGCCAAGGACAAGUGUUCAGAUCCCUACAACGAAUGUUGGGGAAAUUGAAAGAGUAAAUUUGCCGCUUUCAAUAAAUUCGGGUAGUUCAUUAUUUUACCAAAAAUUACCGGAUGGUUUAGAAACACGCUGUGCCAAAAUAUCAGAAGAUACAUCUAUAUAAAAAAAUUCCAGAGAACUUAUGAGACUACGGGCUUGAAAUAAUUGGUAGUUUGCAUUUUAAGUCCCCCCCCAAAGCAAUUCAUAUUCUGUGAUAAAUUCACUUGUAUGAUGUUUGUAAUGCUUUUAUUUUCCCUGCAGUCUUACUUAGUAGUAAUUUUUCUUUCAGGAAAUUAUCCUACCUCUCAGCUAGGUACUCAAUCAAAUCAUAUUACUCAUAUCCCUUUAAAAAAUAACUUUACUACCAUUAAUUAUUUUCCCUGAAUAUGUGUAUAGGCCAUACUUACCGAUUGCCGUCAUUUAAAAAAAUAGCAAUUUUGAAGGCGAAGGAACCUGCGAGAAGAUUGAUGAACUAUUAUCUUGAAGUAGGUACUAUCCUUCAGUUCUAUUGUCAACAAAGUCGUUCUGUCUGAAGGAAGCCAGAAUCCUAUGAGGAGUUUCAUUUUGAAACUCGUCUUCCUGAUGAGAAGGUCGAGUUGAUAGAUAUAUAUGACUGGUCUCCAGUCUCCAAGACGACUCGACAGUAGAAACUCAAGAAUGAAGGAUCCUUCACUACCACAGCUCCCUUCUCCAUCGUCUCCCU